UCGGCAAAACGCUCAGUAACACGUCGGUAAUCUGCCCUCUGGUCAGGGAUAAGCUCGGGAAACUGAGUGUAAUACCUGAUAGGGAACACAUCCUGGAAUGGUGUGUUCUUUCAAACUCGUGCCUAAGGAUUGGACGGCGGCGGAUUAGGUAGUUGGCGGGGUAAUGGCCCACCAAGCCUAAGAUCAGUACGGGCCUUGAGAGAGGUAGCCCGGAGAGGGACACUGAGAUACUGGUCCCAGCCCUACGGGGUGCAGCAGGCGCGUAACCUUUACAAUGCACGAAAGUGUGAUAAGGGAAUCCUAAGUGCUCAUGUUUUACAUAGGCUUUUGCCAAGAGUAAAUAUCUUGGCGAAUAAGUGGUGGGCAAGACUGGUGCCAGCAGCCGCGGUAACACCAGCGCCGCAAGUGGUAUUCACGUUUAUUGGGCCUAAAGCGUCCGUAGCUGGUUUUCAAAAUCCUCUGUGAAAUUGCUCGGCUCAACCGAUCAGCGCGCAAGGGACACUGCAGGGCUCGAGACCGGGAGGAGUCAGAAGUAUUCAAGGGGGACCGGUAAAAUGUUAUAAUCCACGGAGGACCACCGAUGGCGAAGGCAUCUAGCCAGAACGGAUCCGACGGUGAGGGACGAAAGCUAGGGGAGCGAACCGGAUUAGAUACCCGAGUAGUCCUAGCCGUAAACGCUGUGAGCUAGGUGUUGCGUAAUCUACGGGAUUGCGCAGUGUCGAAAUGAAGAUGAUAAGCUCACCGCCUGGGAAGUACGGUCGCAAGGCUGAAACUUUAAGGAAUUGGCGGGGGAGCACCACAAGGGGUGCGGCGUGCGGUUUAAUCUAAUUUAACGCAGAGAAUCUUACCAGAGCCGACGGCAGGAUGAAGGCCAAUCUGAAGGGUUUGCCUGACGAGCCGAGAGGUAGUGCAUGGCCGCCGUCAGCUCGUACCGCGAGGUGUCCUGUUAAGUCAGGCAACGAGCAAGACCUGUAUUCACAAUUGCUAACAGCCACAUGUGGGACUGAGCACUUUGUGGGGACUGCUGUGGUAACACAGAGGAAGGUGCAGGCUACGGUAGGUCUGUAUGCCCCGAAUCUCAUGGGCUACACGCGCGCAACAAUGGUAGGGACAAUGGGACGCGACUCCGAAAGGAGAAGCUAAACCUCGAAACCCUAUCUUAGUACAGAUUGAGGCUUGUAACUCAGCCUCAUGACGACGGAAUCCCUAGUAAUCAGAAGUUAUCAACUUCUGGUGAA
rnacentral:rRNA from 1 species